rnacentral:rRNA from 1 species
GAUGAACGCUGGCGGCGUGCCUAAUACAUGCAAGUCGAGCGAACGGACGAGAAGCUUGCUUCUCUGAUGUUAGCGGCGGACGGGUGAGUAACACGUGGAUAACCUACCUAUAAGACUGGGAUAACUUCGGGAAACCGGAGCUAAUACCGGAUAAUAUUUUGAACCGCAUGGUUCAAAAGUGAAAGACGGUCUUGCUGUCACUUAUAGGUGGAUCCGCGCUGCAUUAGCUAGUUGGUAAGGUAACGGCUUACCAAGGCAACGAUGCAUAGCCGACCUGAGAGGGUGAUCGGCCACACUGGAACUGAGACACGGUCCAGACUCCUACGGGAGGCAGCAGUAGGGAAUCUUCCGCAAUGGGCGAAAGCCUGACGGAGCAACGCCGAGUGAGUGAUGAAGGUCUUCGGAUCGUAAAACUCUGUUAUUAGGGAAGAACAUAUGUGUAAGUAACUGUGCACAUCUUGACGGUACCUAAUCAGAAAGCCACGGCUAACUACGU